rnacentral:rRNA from 1 species
AUGGCCGCCGGCUGGUCCUCCCUCCCCGCCGAUCUUCUCAGUGAGAUCUCGGGCCGCCUGAUCACCGACGCAGACCAGCUCCACGCCCACCAGGUAUGCGCCCACUGGCGAGCCUCAAUUUCUCCUCCGGCCGCCUACCGCCCGUGGGUCGUCGCCGCCCGACAGGCCCCGGACGGACUGAGCCCAGUCGGCGAGUACUCCCUCCAGCUCCCUCGCGGCGUCCCGGGCGUCGACUUCAAGGCGGCCCCACCCGGUCUCCCGUACUGCUGCGGCACGCCCCGCGGCUGGCUCGCCCUUGCGGACGACGUCCGGUCCCCCACGCGGCUCGUGCUGUGGGAGCCCCACUCCGGCACCGAGAUCCCGCUUCCAUGCCUGUGCCCGGUCGUCCAGGUCUUCCUCUCCGGCGACCCGCUCGAGUCGUCGCACUGGAUGGCCGUCGCGACCCAGCUCAGACGGCCCCGGGCGCAUAUCCUCUUCUUCUGGCGGCCCGGGGACGCCGCCUGGAGCGGCCCGGCCGCGGUUCCUUGCGCGAAACUCCACAGCGUCGAAUUCCAUGAGGGGAACAUAUACUGCAUAGACCGCAUGUUUAACGUGUCCAUCUACGAUCUCAAGCUCGGCACGGCGUCCCCUCCCGUGCUCCUCCGGUGCUUCGGCAUGUGCCCUAGUCAGGCGUCGGAGUCGUUGGAGACCCACAAGUAUUGGAAGGACUGCGUGCGUGCGGUGCACGUCGUGGCCUGCCGCGGCGAGCUCCUGCUCGUGCUGCUGUUCCACGGCCGCCGCCCGUCGCUCAUGGAAGUCUACAGGCCGGCGUGGACGCCCGCUGAAUGGCCCUUCCAGGUCGGUGAGAGGGUGACUGACCUCGGGGGCUACGCGCUCUUCCUCGGCUGCGGCGACGCCGUUGCGCUGUCUGCCAAGGAGUACCCAGCGAUCAGGGGGAACUGCGUUUACUACCUGGUGCACAACCUCCCCAAGAAGCAUUGGGCAAUGGUUUAUGAUCUGGGGACGGGUGAUGUGGACGAUAUACCUUACCCCGAGGUGCACAAGCAGGAGAAUGGCUGCUGGCCAUAUUCUUGGUUUUGUCCUCGAAGGCCCUUCCUGAAGAAGCAGGUAGUUUAA